CCUACGGGAGGCAGCAGUGAGGAAUAUUGGUCAAUGGACGCGAGUCUGAACCAGCCAAGUAGCGUGAAGGAUGACUGCCCUACGGGUUGUAAACUUCUUUUAUAUGGGAAUAAAAUGUUCCACGUGUGCCAUUUUGUAUGUACCUUAUGAAUAAGGAUCGGCUAACUCCGUGCCAGCAGCCGCGGUAAUACGGAGGAUCCGAGCGUUAUCCGGAUUUAUUGGGUUUAAAGGGAGCGUAGAUGGGUUGUUAAGUCAGUUGUGAAAGUUUGCGGCUCAACCGUAAAAUUGCAAUUGAAACUGGCAGUCUUGAGUACAGUAGAGGUAGGCGGAAUUCGUGGUGUAGCGGUGAAAUGCUUAGAUAUCACGAAGAACUCCGAUUGCGAAGGCAGCUCACUGGACUGCAACUGACACUGAGGCUCGAAAGUGUGGGUAUCAAACAGGAUUAGAUACCCCAGUAGUC
rnacentral:rRNA from 1 species